CUACGGGAGGCUGCAGUCGAGAAUCUUCCACAAUGCACGAAAGUGUGAUGGAGCGACGUCGCGUGCGAGAUGAAGGCCUUCGGGUCGUAAAUCGUUUUUAUAAGGGAAGAAUUUAGAUGACAUUACCUUAUGAAUAAGGGGUUGCUAAUUGCGUGCCAGCAGCAGCGGUAAUACGCAAACCCCAAGCGUUAUCCGGAUUUAUUGGGCGUAAAGGGUGGGUAGGCGGAUAUAGCAGUCAGUCGUUAAAUCACUGGGCUCAACCCAGUAAUCGCGAUUGAAACACUAUGUCUAGAGAUAAGUAGAGGUCAACGGAGCUCAUGGUGUAGCAGUGGAAUGCGUUGAUAUCAUGGGGAACACCAAAGGCGAAGGCAGUUGACUGGGCUUUAUCUGACGCUGAGCCACGAAAGCGUGGGGAGUGAAGGGGAUUAGAUACCCGCGUAGUC
rnacentral:rRNA from 1 species